UUAGAUGUAGAGUAGCUCAGUCAGAACUGCUGCUCAGAGUACAAGGGGCCUUGCAAGUCAAUGGCAGGACUUUGGAUUAUACCUGGAAAGGUGAAAACAAGAGGAGUUGUCUUUUGAGCAGAGCACAGAGAUGAUCCAAUUUAAGAACUAACCAGGCAGCUAUAGAUUUUCUAUGGAGAUGAGAUGGUGGGCAUCAUGGCCCAUGCCCACUGCUGCUGGGCAAUGUGAGUGGAACACGAGAGCCAUGUGGCCAGGUCUCUAUCAGCUGAGAGCUUUUGAUGUGUUUGGGAGAUGAGACAAGGUAGGGUGGAGGAGUGCAUAGGAGCCAGGACUUUCAAUACAGAAGGGUCCAGAUUGAGUCUUCCUGCUGCCACCCCCUAGCCUAGAAAGUUACUUAAAGUCUCUGUUGCCUCAUCGUUAAGUGGUAAUAAGUGGUAUUAGCAAUGUCUGCCUGAUAGGUUUCUGUGGGGGCUGACUCAGCCCAGAGUGCCUGGCACAGAGUGGGCCUGAAAGAGAUAGCAGCUGGUGUUAUUAUUCAGUAAUAAUGUGAGGUAACACCGUGCUCCUCACUGGGGUGUGGGGGUGGCAGUGGCGGUGGUGUUGGGGACAGAAAUCUUCGAGCAGAAGGUAGAUGAGAAGAGGGAGAAGGCAUGGAGGAUGGGAGCUGGCCGGAAUAAGCACAGUGUGUUCUCACAAAGGAACAUGAGGGUCUGGCUGGGAGGAGAAAACGGCCCCCACUGGAGUCUGUGCAGCCUCUUUGGCUCUAGAUACAAUUUCAGCAAGAAGAUGCUGGACAGUUUCUAUGAUUAGAAGAGGCACUUAAGAAGAGGAAAGGGUUUCUCCAGAGAGGUUCCUGGUCAUCUGAGGGUUUGGAGGGUCCCAGUAGGAUUUAUAGGGAGGAAAUUGUGAUGGGUAGAAAGUCCUGGGCUCACUCUUUGAUUUUCCUACCCCAGGGUCAAUCACUGUUGAAAGGAGAGAUCUUAGCUGUAGACCUUUGGGAGAGAGAGAUUGAUUCUGGGGUCAGGAUUGUAGCUUAGUGGUCUACUACUUGCCUAGCAUGUGUAAGGCCCUCGGUUCAAUCUCCAGCACUGCAAAUUAAUUAAUUAAUUAAUUAAUUAGAUGGUUUCUUUUCUGUCCUCUGUGUGGAUUUCAUUCUCUCAGGCUUUCUGGCAGCUCUCAAGUUGUCGUCAACCCAGCUUCCCAACCAGAAAGAAAAUAGAGCUUCUCUCUCUUGGAUCCAGCAUGAAAGUUCCCAGAAAAAGAUUUUGCAUUGGCCCAGCCUGAGGGGUGCCCUAUGUCCUAGGGGUCCACUAGGCCCAUCAUAGUGGUCCUGGAAACAGGAUGACCCAUCAUGAGGUGAGUAGGCUUCCUCUACUACGAUGUGCUGCCUCAUCACAGGCCAGAAGCAAUGGGGCCAACUGACCAUGAAGUGAAACCUACAAAAUGUCACUUCCAGCGACCAUUUUCCAAAAUCAAUCACCCUCCAGUAACAGGAGCCUUCCAUGUAGCCUGAGUCAGACCCACCCCAGAUGUUGUUUGCCAUCAGCUGGAAACUCCUUCAAAGUCUCACAUUUUACCUUAAAGUUUUGUGAUAAAUUUACCUUUAAUAAAUUACUUAUCUGCUUAAUUGCAUUCCACCCUAAAAGUCUUUUUAAAAGAUCCUUUGAGAAAAUAAGACAUUUUCAUUUUGUGGCUUUAUAUAUACCCCUGUGGCACACUGAAUAUUUCCCUCAGGAUAUGUGAACUUCAUUUGCAAAGCUUGUCCAUAAAGAGUGAUCAAAUUUAUUUGGUCCUUGACAAUAUCCAGAGGGAAGAGCUGCCAGUCAGCUACCAUACAUAGCCAUAGAAAAAUGCAAAAAAUGCUCCCUUAGAAUUAUCUAGCUCAGAGCAAUCCUCUGAUGACUCUGAGAAAAUUAACUCUAAAUGCACUCCUAAAUUACUAAAUUGGUUAAUAAAUUUAAGUCUUUCUGAGCAUGGUUAGAUACUAGGAUCCAAGGUCCCCUGGGUAGACUCCUGGGUCAUGUCAAACAGAAGAGGAGUCAUAUCUCCAUUUAAAGGGCUCCUCAGCUGCAUGAAAACAGUAGUUUUUCUUUCUCUGUGCUCUAAAAUGUAACAGAAACAGGGCCAGCAUUUCACAUGCAUUAUCUCUAAUCUACAUAAGCCUACGAGGUCGAUGUCAUUAUCCCCUUUAAACAAAGGAGAGAAUGGAAAGGUUACAUGAUUUCAAGAAGGGCACACAGCCAGAAGGUAGUGGGACCACCAUAAGGCUCAUACCUUUUUCUAAAACCAGACUACUUUAGACUUCUAUGGAUUAGAUUUAUAAUUUUAGUGACCAACAUGCCCCUUAGCCUGUCUUCAAAUGCCUGUGGUUUCAGCUGGGCUUUGGAGAAGAGUUGUAGGAUGAGUGGAUCAAGAUUCAGCUUUCAGGUGACUGUCCAGAGCUCAGAAAUUCUCCUCUACAUGAAGGAAGACCUCAUUUCUUUCUAGCUUUCAUCUUAUGCAACUUUUGGGGCAGCACUGGGUGAUACAGAAUAUCCUUUCUGCUACACAAA